CCUGAUAGCUCAGUUGGUAAAGAAUCCACCUGCAAUGUGGGAGGCCCUGGUUCGAUUCCUGGGUCAGGA
rnacentral:tRNA from 1 species